CAGUCGCCGCGGUAAUACGUAGGGUGCGAGCGUUAAUCGGAAUUACUGGGCGUAAAGCGUGCGCAGGCGGUUCGUUAAGACAGAUGUGAAAUCCCCGGGCUUAACCUGGGAACUGCAUUUGUGACUGGCGAGCUAGAGUAUGGCAGAGGGGGGUAGGAUUCCACGUGUAGCAGUGAAAUGCGUAGAGAUGUGGAGGAAUACCGAUGGCGAAGGCAGCCCCCUGGGCCAAUACUGACGCUCAUGCACGAAAGCGUGGGGAGCAAACAGGAUUAGAUACCCCAGUAGUCCCUGUCUCUUAUAC
rnacentral:rRNA from 1 species